ensembl:snoRNA small nucleolar RNA SNORD75
AGUCAGUGAUGAUGUUUAAGAGUAGUGGACAGAAGUGAUUUCUGAGUAAUUAUACACUGAGACU